GAAACCCGUCCCUCGUGCUAAAAAAAGGUUGGGGACCAAUGUAUUAACAAAUCCGCCAUUGUAACUAGACUGACUCUUUGGUGGACCACAAAUUCGGGCAUACAGAGCAGUUACCUGCUUCUGGCCAGGAGUUCUAGUACAUAAAAUAAUCCUCUAAUUUUGGAAGGUGUGGUUGUUAAUAACUGUGAAUUUGCUGUACUUUCACUGUUCAUCUUUUUCAUCUUCUUUUUUUUAGGGAUAUCCAGCCACCACCCCAGGAUCCACAGCAUCCACAGUGGAAAUGUCGCCUGGUACUCUGCUAAUUCCACCGUUGUCAUUGGUGGCUACACAGUCUGCAGAGUUGGGGUGCUGGAGGACUCCUUAACCCUCUUGGACAUGUUUUUGACCAUUCUCUUGUCCCCUUGUGGGUUCUUCUGCUGUUUUGCCUUGAGGAGGCUAAGACGUCCCAACUGUGGAGCAAAAUUUACCUAAAGGGAACAGCACCCCUGGUUUUCCUGCAUUCAGCUGUCUUUUUCUAAUGUAAAUGUUGUGUACAGUAGCUUUAUUUGAUUAAGUUUCAGGACUGUUCUGUGAAGGGCGGUAGAAUGGAUUUGGCAUGUGUAAGUUGGGUUCACAGGCAUGAGUCAUGGAGUGUGGACACGUGGCAAUACUGUUCCCAUGGUUAAUAACAACUCAAUAAAGCACCACUUUUAUUUUUUGCACUCUUCACUUUGAUAGAGGUGAGAAAUACUGUUUUAAAUAAAUGAGAUUUAUGCCAUUUAAGCAUUUUUCAACAUCCACUUCUACUUUUUUUUCAAUUAGCAAUAAUCACACCUGGGAUAAACCUCAUUGGCUACAGCACUGCCUCUGUGCAAAGCUCAACAUGCAUGUGUAAUUUUUAAUAAGUUUAGAGUUAAAAAUUAACUACAUUAUUCUUUUAAAUAAUAUGCGGAGUUUUCAGUGCUUUAACUCCAGUAUUUCCUAUCACAACAUUCACUUUUUUAUGUUAUGGUUAUAAGUCAAUUUGGGUUUCAUUCUUUAAAUCUCCUAUUUAUAUAAAGAGUACAAAUUUAGCCCUGGCUGGUGUAGCUCAGUGGAUUGAGCGCAGGCCUGCGAACCAGACAAUUGCGGUUCGAUUCCCAGUCAGGGCACAUGCCUGGGUUGCAGGCCGGUUCCCUGCAGGCCAGUUCCCAGCAGGGGAUGCAUGAAAGGCAACCAUACAUUGAUGUUUCUCUCCCUCUCUCCUUCCUUUCCCCUCUAAAGAUAAAUAAAUUAAAAAAAAUAAAGAGUACAAAUUUAUGUUUUUAAAAAAUCUUCACUAGAGGAUAUGUGUAUUGAUUUUAGAGAGAGAGGAAGGGAGACAGAGAAACAUCGGCUGGUUUCCUCCUGUAUAUACCCCAACCAGGGAUUGAACCCACAACCUAGGUAUUUGCCCUGACCUGGAAUUGAACUCACAACCUUUUAGUGACUGGUCGACACUCAACUAACUGAACCACCCAGCCAGGGUAACAUUUAGGUUUUGCAAAGUCUUCUACUCAUUUCUUUUUGCUCUUUUUCUCCUUUCUUGGUGGUUUCCUUACAAAUUUUUUAAAUGAAAGUUUAAAAAAAUUAUUUAUUUUUUAGAGAGAGGGAAAGGGAGGGAGAAAGAGGAGAGAAACGUCAAGGUAUGGUUGCCUCUCCUGUACCUCCUGCUAGGGGACCUGGCCCACAACCCAGGCAUGUGCCCUGACUGGGAAUCGAACCAGCAACCCUUUGGUUUUCAGUCCAGUGCUCAAGCCAUUGAAGCACACCAGCCAGGGCUAAUAACUUUCUUUUUAAAAAUUGAUUUUAGAGAAAGAGAAGAAGGGGAAGAGAAACAUUGAUUUGUUGUGCCACUUAUUUAUGCAUUCAUUGGUUGAUUUUCUGUGUGCUCUAAUUAUGUAUGGAACUCACAACCUUGGCAAUCCAGACGACACUCUAAGCAACUGAGCUACCUGGCCAAGGCCGCUUUAAUAACUUUCAACCCAUUUCCUUCCCCAGUAUCUCAAUCCCUUUACCUGUUUUUACCUAUUAUAUAAUUCCCCUCUUUGUUUCCUUUCUCUCUCCAGUAUAGUGUCAAUUCCCUGAGGGCAUAGAUUUCUGUUUCAUUCGCUGUGUAUCCCAAGCAUUUAG